AGAAGGUACAUUUAUUUUUUGAUAAACAUUUUUAUUCUAUGAAUCCGUUUUGUAUACUUAUUCCAGAUAUCCGUGCAGCGCUCUUUUGACUCACUGAUUGAAUGCAAAAUAUGCCAGAAUCGUAAAAAAACCGAGGCAUUUUUCGGCUGAAACCGAAUCCUCCAGCCAAGUCAUUCUCCUCCUCCGAAGGGUAAGGAAAAUCGCAACAUUUCACAUGUCACAACGAGGGCGAUUUCCCUACCCAUAGUAAAAUGGACCAUGGCGAAUCCUGCGGGUUCCGUUGAUUUGCUCGCCCGAACAAAAAAAUAACCCAGCCACGCGCGUUUCAAAUCCCUUUAGUUACACUGUUUCAAAAUUAAAUAUUUACAUUUUGUAUGCGGAGGCGGAUGCGGCGGGCAUGAGGCCUGAAUCUCGCUUCACAUGUGGGUGUUUCGGCCCGAAUGGUGGCAUCCAGAUGCUGGAUACUGGCUACUGGAUACUGGCCAUCUAAUCGGCGGUGGUGGCUGACGGUGCUCCGUCAGCUGGUCGUGAGCACUUGUCGUGGUCAGAGUCAGAGGCGCAGUUUGCCAGGGGUUCAGAUAUUCGUUUCAGAUAUGUAAUAUUUCCCCCCCUUUCCAAUUAAUUAAUGUAAAAACGAGCUUUCCAGCACCGACUGAAAGUUGCUGAACCCCCGUGAGCGACGCCACUGGCUGUCACAUAUGAGCUCAGAUCAUCAAUCCCCCCGUUGGCCGGAUGGGGUGGUGGCCACCAUGCAGUUUCCGACGCGCGUUUAUUUAGUAAUUUGUUUGUCUCCCGACUUAGUCACGGUUUAUGGUUGACAUUUAUUUUAUGAGCGUGAAAAAUAUAUCACUCGCCAGUGGCAGCCAGCCACCACGGGAUGCCAGGCGGGAUGGCAGGCAGGUGGCUGCACCACCCACUCCACCACAACACCACAACGCCACAACACCACCCACAUGCACCACUUAAGCCAAUUUUGAUAGCGGCUUAUUGAUGGCCGAGCGAAUGGCGAUUUGUGCGUUAGUCUCGCUCGAGCUCGCUGAUUGAAUCAGUGCGGAAAUGGGACGAGGACGAGAUCGAUGGGCAGUUCGUGGUCUGCUUGGUUUGCAAUCUGUGCCCUUGUGCGACGCAGGCGAGUCGGAUCUAAACGGCUGCUUCUAGCACUUGAUAUAUUGAAACGCCGGAUCGACAAGGAAGGCUUCAGAUGAGAGGAAAUGUCGACUGGCACUUCCUUUAGCGAGUAUUGUUAACCGCUGCUAAGCCCAUCAAUUAUGCCGUAAUUAUCCUUGGGCUGAGCCUCGGCUAGCUCAUUGUGCAGCAACUAUGCGGCACAGCACAUCCUAUAUCCUGUCCUGCAUCCUUAGGCCCUAGUGCUUAGUCCUCAUACCCUGGCGCUCUGAUUUUUCCACCUUGCUGGCCAACUAUGCGGCUCAUCCGCUCCGCUGAACGCCGCCAGAAGGAAGUGCCGUACAGUACAGGACCCAAAUCGCAGGACGCAGGACGCAGACUGCGGAAUGCAGGACUCGGAUCGCUGCAAAGCAGUUGAAAAAACACAACGGGCCUGAACAACACAAACAAAAACACAAGGACAGCGCUUUGUUUGCAGAAAGCGAAAGAGAGGUGAAAUUAAAAUCAAGCUGUUGAUAGCAAUCACACGCUCCUGGCUGCCCGAAAUGAAUAAAUGCUAUCCUUGUAUGCUCAACCAAUGAUCGCAGUAAGCUGACAUCUUGUUGACUUCUUAAGGAGACCACAAUUUGGCGCACCGGCACUUCUCUCAGUGGACAUAUCCUGGCUGCUGUCUUUGCAACUCCGAUGGCGAUGCCAAGAGAGUGGGAUGCAUGCAUCACUAGCCGUCACAUGGCCAACUGCCUUGGCUUCCUGCUCUCGACCAAUCUGCGACUGUCAUCCAUCAUUCCUGGAGUUUACUGGAUGCUUGCCAUUUCUGUGGCUCCCGAAUCUCCGCCUCUUCAUCUGCAUCUCCUGGAACAAGGGAAUGUAGGGUAGAGUGAUGUAGUUAGGGUUGACAUCCUCAAGUGGCCCAGUGGCAUUGUUCGCCGAUUAGCGUUUGUCGAGCGUGCAGUAAUUAAGUUGAAGUUGCACAGUAGAUCCCCGAUAAGCAUGGGGAUCAGGAUACGGCCACGGUGGUUAGGGAUAAUCCGCAGGGAUCAAAAGGAUAUGGCCCCCGUUCCUUUGUGCCUCUUUUGAACAUCAAUCGGGGCAAUUGGAUUGACAUUAUCGGAUCGCAGGCUGGAGGAUCUGCUUCGAAGUAAUUGUGACCCACGGUAAUUGAUUCGUGAGGAAUCAUUUAAUAUAGCUCUUGUGCUUUAACAGAAA